rnacentral:lncRNA from 1 species
GAGGCCGGGGCCGGCGGCUGAACGGCUUGGAACCCGAAACGCCUCGGCUUUCCUGCGGACCCGCGCGCGGCCGCUGCCCCCGGACGCUUGAGAAGAGAGAGAAUGCUAAUGAGCUGUGAAAUGACCAAAGAUCUGGCAGCAGAAGGGAAGAGAAAAAAUAAUGGAAUAUUUUCUGUCCACAAUUGGUUGAAUCUGUGGAUGUGGAAACUGCAGAUACAGAUGAAGAGCCGACUAUACUAGCUUUUUGUUUUCUUUUUCACUUCUGGAACCAAGAAAAUUUCCCAAGCCCCAGAUAAAUACAGCUGGAAUGCUCUUCAGAAGUCAGUAGCAUGGGGCUGAAGAGAGAGACCGAAGUUUACACACUCCAUUUGUUUCUGCUUGAGAUAAAGCCUCUGUUCUAUUUUGCUUAAGGAACAAGAGGAUUUAUCUGACUCAACUGGAGAUGGCUCCCUUCCCUAAUUUAUUGUUGCAUCCUGAAGCUUCCCCCAUGCUGAGCUCAGUGUGAACAAACAGCGCGGGAGGAUGUAACCACUGCAGAGGCAUAUGUUUGAGAUGUCUGGCCACUGGAGGUCGUCUCGUCUACUAUGUUCACCACAGAUAAAGAAUGAAAAGAGAAUACACAACCUUGUGAUUGCUAGCAGUGAAAGCUCAGAGUUGUGACAUAACAAGUCUUGCUCUGUUGCCCAGACUGGAGUGCACAGCAUGAUCUCAGCUCACUGCAACCUCUGCUCCCCGGGAUCAAGUGAUUCUCUCGCUUCAGCCUCCCAAGUAGCUGGGAUUACAGGGUACAAAUUGAUCUGACUUGAUUUGUCAGAGAGCCAGAACUGCAGGCAAAUAGACGCCAGAGAAAUCAACCGAUCUUUUAAGCCAGCAGUAAUUGUUCCUCCUGUCGGCUGGCUAAAUGAGUUGUAUCUGGAGGAGAUGCUCAGAAUGAAUCAGAAUGCUCGAGGUGACAGAAACACAGAGCAUUCCAAAGUGGGCUGUAACAGAAUGGGACCGUCUAAUUGCAGGAAAACAAGCUCAGGGCUCCCACUGAUUCUACAUCAUGACUGGUUGGAAAGAACCCAAGGGGACGUGGGCACAGCAUCCUUUCCUGGGCCUCUUCCCGACGUGGCACGGGUGGGAAAUCAGGAAGCUCCCAGACGUGGAGCAACUCAGGUGAUCAUAGCACAGAGAGAAGAGGGGCUUGAGCAGAGAGAAUGCUUAGAGGCUAAGCGAUGGGCAUGUGAGAGGGAAAGCAGCGACAGAUAGAGCUGGCUGCCUAGGGGUCUCAGAGGCUUCAUCCUGCAGGCGGCAGGACAAAGGGUCCUUCGAGCUCCAGAUCAAGAUUCCAAGGAGUUAAAUGUUACCACGCAGCCCGACCUGGAUGGGAUUUGCUCCUGGGUACAAAACGGGACACUGAUCAAAAUCAACUUGGACAAGUGACAAGAG